UGAGGAAUAUUGGACAAUGGGUGCAAGCCUGAUCCAGCCAUGCCGCGUGCAGGAAGAAGCAUCUAUUGUGUGUAAACUGCUUUUGUACGGGAAGAAACACUCCUUCGUGAAGGAGCUUGACGGUACCGUAAGAAUAAGGAUCGGCUAACUCCGUGCCAGUAGCCGCGGUAAUACGGAGGAUCCAAGCGUUAUCCGGAAUCAUUGGGUUUUAAGGGUCCGUAGGCGGUUUAGUAAGUCAGUGGUGAAAGCCCAUCGCCCAACGAUGGAACGGCCAUUGAUACUGAUAGACUUGAAUUAUUAGGAAGUAACUAGAAUAUGUAGUGUAGCGGUGAAAUGAUUAGAUAUUACAUGGAAUACCAAUUGCGAAGGCAGGUUACUACUAAUGGAUUGACGCUGAUGGACGAAAGCGUGGGGAGCGAACA
rnacentral:rRNA from 1 species